CCAAUAGCGUAUAUUAAAGUUGCUGCAGUUAAAAAGCUCGUAGUUGAAUUUCGGGACUAAUAUGUCGGUCGUGCCUCUGGUACGUACUGGUUUUAUUGGUUCCUCCCUUCUGACGAAACAUGAUGUCAUUAAUUUGGUGUCGUGGAGAAUCAGGACUGUUACCUUGAAAAAAUUAGAGUGUUUAUAGCAGGCUAACGCUUGAAUACAUUAGCAUGGAAUAAUGAAAUAGGACGUUCGACCCUAUUUUGUUGGUUUCUAGGAUCGACGUAAUGAUUAAUAGGGAUAGUUGGGGGCAUUAGUAUUCAAUUGUCAGAGGUGAAAUUCUUGGAUUUAUUGAAGACUAACUACUGCGAAAGCAUUUGCCAAGGAUGUUUUCAUUAAUCAAGAACGAAAGUUAGGGGAUCGAAGACGAUCAGAUACCGUCGUAGUCUUAACCAUAAACUAUGCCGACUAGGGAUCGGAUGAUGUUAAUUUUUUAAUGACUCAUUCGGCGCCUUACG
rnacentral:rRNA from 1 species